GCCUGGAUAGCUCAGUUGGUUAGAGCCUGGUGCUGGUAAUGCCAAGGCUGCAGGUUCAAUCCCCAUACGGGACA
rnacentral:tRNA from 1 species